rnacentral:lncRNA from 1 species
AUAUUCUUAAGAAAUAUGAGUAUUUAUACUAAUAGAAUAAAUCUUGAGAAAAAAUAAUUUUAAUUUAAUAGCCGAAUUUUUUAUCCCGAAUUUUUAAUUGAAGAACGUAUAAUAUCCGUAUAAAUCAUGUAUCCGAAUAAUUACUGAAUCCGUUUUUUAGCCGUAUUUUUUAACGAAUUUAAAAAUUAGAAAACGAAUUUUAUCCGAAUUAUAUCCGUACCGAAUUUUUGCCGAAUCCGAAUUAACUAACUAUGGCUACAACCGCUCCUCUCUC